GUGAUUUUGGAGGGCAAGUCUGGUGCCAGCAGCCGCGGUAAUUCCAGCUCCAAUAGCGUAUAUUAAAGUUGUUGCAGUUAAAAAGCUCGUAGUUGAAUUUCGGGGUUAGUAGGUUGGUCAUGCCUCUGGUAUGUACUGGUCUCACUGAUUCCUCCUUCCUUAUGAACCGUAAUGCCAUUAAUUUGGUGUUGCGGGGAAUUUGGACUGUUACUUUGAAAAAAUUAGAGUGUUUAAAGCAAGCUAACGCUUGAAUACAUUAGCAUGGAAUAAUGAAAUAGGACGUUCGAUCUUAUUUUGUUGGUUUCUAGGAUUGACGUAAUGAUUAAUAGGGAUAGUUGGGGGCAUUAGUAUUCAAUUGUCAGAGGUGAAAUUCUUGGAUUUAUUGAAGACUAACUACUGCGAAAGCAUUUGCCAAGGAUGUUUUCAUUAAUCAAGAACGAAAGUUAGGGGAUCGAAGACGAUCAGAUACCGUCGUAGUCUUAACCAUAAACUAUGCCGACUAGGGAUCGGAUGAUGUUAAUUUUUUAAUGACUCAUUCGGCGCCUUACGGGAAACAAUCGAA
rnacentral:rRNA from 1 species